rnacentral:misc_RNA from 1 species
GAAAUGCGAUAAUUAAUGUGAAUUGCAGAAUUCAGUGAAUCAUCGAGUCUUUGAACGCACAUUGCGCCCCCUGGUAUUCCGGGGGGCAUGCCUGUCCGAGCGUCAUUGCUGCCCUCAAGCACGGCUUGUGUGUUGGGCUUCCGUCCCUGGCAACGGGGACGGGCCCAAAAGGCAGUGGCGGCACCAUGUCUGGUCCUCGAGCGUAUGGGGCUUUGUCACCCGCUCCCGUAGGUCCAGCUGGCAGCUAGCCUCCCAACCAAUCUUUUUAACCAGGUUGACCUCGGAUCAGGUAGGGAUACCCGCUGAACUUAAGC